rnacentral:tRNA from 1 species
UUUUUGGUAGCUUAAAAUUAAAGCAAUUAACUUUUAAUUAAUAGAUUGGAUAACCAUCAUUAUC